CUAUCAUUUGAUACUCUCAAAUCAGGAUUUUGGUAAAAUUAUAAUUUUGCCCCUGAAGAGCAAUAAGUCUUUUUCAAGUGAAAAUCAUUGGUACCCCUUCAACUGCUUUGUAAUCAUCAAAAUCAAUCUAAGGAGCAACAACAUCAUACACGAAUAUCUCGAGAAGAAGUUCAUUGAGGUGUUAAGAGUUGACUCCGCACUAAAUGUAGUGGACCCGCUAACCAAGCCUCUCAGCCAACAGA
rnacentral:lncRNA from 1 species